UGAUAUUGCUCGGUAGACCGACGGUCCA
rnacentral:piRNA from 1 species